rfam:Peptostreptococcaceae bacterium AS15 ctg120005099215, whole genome shotgun sequence.
AGAACUGCUUGUAUAGUGGCAAGCAGGAUAAUAAAAAGAAACACUAUAUUAAGA